CUCAUUUAUUUAAAAAGAGGCACAUCUAUUAUUCGAAUUAAGCCUUUUUUAUACCGUAUAGCCAUCAUUAAUUUUCGUAGAGUUUAAAUUUAUGUCUUAAGGGUUAAAAAAAAAACUGUCACAGUCAUGUCGCAAAAUGAAUCCUUAAAUAGAAUGAAUACCUAGAUUUUUCUUCAUUGGAUGAAUGACAAUUCCCGCAUUUGGCUCUAGGUAGGUCUACCUUACCUAUUCUAUUUACUAGAAGCAUUAUUCUUUUAGCCUAUUUGGCUGCUUCAGCCUAAUCUAGUGUAACAUAUAUUUAGGUAUUUAUUUAAACUAAAUUCAACAUAAAACAAAAGUAAAAAAAAAAUAAUUAAUGAAAUAUUAACCUAAUUAAACUAAAAUAAAAAUACAAACACUAUAUACAUUAAAACUAUAACUAAAACCCUACUAAUACAAUAAUAAAUCACUAAAUAACAAACAAAUAAACAAAAACAUUAAAACAUAGGUACGUAAGUUGGUCACAUCAAUAAUGGCUAGUUGUUCGUUCUCACUGCAACAUACGACCGGUCCUUUGUUCUCGUCCCCACAUAAACGGGCGCGUAGCGGGCGAUCGCGGAAAGCGAUUUUGAUCUUCAUACAGCGGACACGUAAACGCUCAUCUCAACGCAGUGUUCAAAAAAUUUAAAUACGCUGAUAAUUAAUUCCUCCAGUUUUUUUUUACACACUGUGACUAGAAUUUCUAAAGUGUAAAAUUUCUCUUCAGUUUAAUUUCAAAGUUUUGUGUGUGCAAUAUUAUUACCCGUGAAUCGGGUCCGAGUUUAGGGCUGAGACGACAGCCAUAUCAUUGCGCACCACCCUGCGACUGCUGAGUGCUGUCCGUACGACCGACCAUCCCAGCGUAGCCAUUGACCGAAGACUGGUCGCGAUUAAGGGCAGUACCUCUUUGUCAGGAUUUAGAACACGGCAUAGGGCAGUAGGACUCAACCCUGUAUUUAUUUUCUUUAAAUAAAAUUAUUAUCUGUGGA